UUAUGAAUUAAAUUUAUUUAUACAGUGAAAAUGUAGUGUUUUUAAUUAAACUACAUUAGUAGAAAU
rnacentral:tRNA from 1 species